rnacentral:rRNA from 1 species
AUUGAACGCUGGCGGCAUGCUUUACACAUGCAAGUCGAACGGCAGCGGGUCCUUCGGGAUGCCGGCGAGUGGCGAACGGGUGAGUAAUGCAUCGGAACAUACCCAGUCGUGGGGGAUAACGUAGCGAAAGUUACGCUAAUACCGCAUACGUCCUGAGGGAGAAAGCGGGGGAUCUUCGGACCUCGCGCGAUUGGAGUGGCCGAUGUCAGAUUAGCUAGUUGGGGGGGUAAGGGCCCACCAAGGAGACGAUCUGUAGCGGGUCUGAGAGGAUGGUCCGCAACACUGGGACUGAGACACGGCCCAGACGCCUAAGGGAGGCAGCAGUGGGGAAUGUUGGACAAUGGGGGCAACCCUGAUCCAGCCAUGCCGCGUGCGGGAAGAAGGCCUUCAGGUUGUAAACCGCUUUCGGACGGAAAGAAAUCGCUUGGGUUAAUACCCUGAGUGGAUGACGGUACCGUAAGAAGAAGCACCGGCUAACUACGUGCCAGCCGCCGCCGUAA